rnacentral:rRNA from 1 species
AGAGUUUGAUCCUGGCUCAGGACGAACGCUGGCGGCGUGCUUAACACAUGCAAGUCGAGCGGGGAUAUGGGGUUUCGGCCCUGUAUUCUAGCGGCGGACGGGUGAGUAACGCGUGAACAAUCUGUCCCAGACAGGGGGAUAACACUUGGAAACAGGUGCUAAUACCGCAUAAGACCACGACCUCGCAUGGGGUUGGGGUAAAGGGAGUAAUCCGGUUUGGGGUGAGUUCGCGUCUGAUUAGCUAGUUGGUGGGGUAACGGCUCACCAAGGCGACGAUCAGUAGCCGGCCUGAGAGGGCGAACGGCCACACUGGGACUGAGACACGGCUCAGACUCCUACGGGAGGCAGCAGUGGGGAAUAUUGGGCARUGGGGACCUGACAGCACGCCGCGUGAGGGAGAAGGUUUUCGGAUUGUAAACCUCUGUCUUAUGGGAAGAAGGAAGUGACGGUACCAUAAGAGGAAGCCCCGGCUAACUACGUGCCAGCAGCCGCGGUAAUACGUAGGGGGCAAGCGUUGUCCGGAAUGACUGGGCGUAAAGGGCGCGUAGGCGGCAAUAUAAGUUUGGAGUGAAAGUCCUCAUUUCAAGUGGGGAAUUGCUUUGAAAACUGUAUAGCUUGAGUGCGGAAGAGGUAAGUGGAAUUCCCAGUGUAGCGGUGAAAUGCGUAGAGAUUGGGAGGAACACCAGUGGCGAAGGCGACUUACUGGGCCGUAACUGACGCUGAGGCGCGAAAGCGUGGGGAGCGAACAGGAUUAGAUACCCUGGUAGUCCACGCGGUAAACGAUGAAUGCUAGGUGUAGGGGGUAUCGACCCCUCCUGUGCCGGAGUAAACACAAUGAGCAUUCCGCCUGGGGAGUACGGCCGCAAGGUUGAAACUCAAAGGAAUUGACGGGGGCCCGCACAAGCAGCGGAGCAUGUUGUUUAAUUCGAAGCAACGCGAAGAACCUUACCAGGUCUUGACAUCGAUGUAAAGCCAUAGAGAUAUGGUGUGCCUUCGGGCAACAGAAGACAGGUGGUGCAUGGUUGUCGUCAGCUCGUGUCGUGAGAUGUUGGGUUAAGUCCCGCAACGAGCGCAACCCUUAUGGUCAGUUACUAACGCGUAGAGGCGAGGACUCUGACGAGACUGCCGGGGACAACUCGGAGGAAGGUGGGGACGACGUCAAAUCAUCAUGCCCCUUAUGACCUGGGCUACAAACGUGCUACAAUGGUGGCAACAAAGAGGAGCGAGCUCGUGAGGGUAAGCGGAUCUCAAAAAAGCCAUCUCAGUUCGGAUUGUGGGCUGCAACCCGCCCACAUGAAGUUGGAGUUGCUAGUAAUCGCGAAUCAGCAUGUCGCGGUGAAUACGUUCCCGGGCCUUGUACACACCGCCCGUCACACCAUGGGAGUUGGGAGCACCCGAAGCCGGUGCGCUGACCGCAAGGAGGCAGCCGUCGAAGGUGAGACCGAUGACUGGGGUGAAGUCGUAACAAGGUAACCGUA